rnacentral:rRNA from 1 species
UGCUGGAUGCUGACGCAGCGGCGGACGGGUGAGUAAUGCAUAGGAAUCUGCCCGAUAGUGGGGGAUAACCUGGGGAAACCCAGGCUAAUACCGCAUACCUCCUACGGGAGAAAGGGGGCUCCCGCUCCCGCUAUGGGAUGAGCCUAUGUCGGAUUAGCUAGUUGGUGAGGUAACGGCUCACCAAGGCCACGAUCCGUAGCUGGUCUGAGAGGAUGAUCAGCCACAUCGGGACUGAGACACGGUCCGAACUUCUACGGGAGGCAGCAGUGGGGAAUAUUGGACAAUGGGGGAAACCCUGAUCCAGCCCUGCCGCGUGUGUGAAGAAGGCCCUCGGGUUGUAAAGCACUUUCCGCGAGGAAGAACGCCCAGCGGUUAAUACCCCGCUAGGAAAGACCUCACUCGCAGAACAAGCACCGGCUAACUCCGUGCUCCGCAGCCGCGGUAAUACCGAGGGUGCAAGCGUUAAUCGGAAUUACCGGGCGUAAAGCGCGCGUAGGUGGCUUGAUAAGCCGGUUGUGAAAGCCCCGGGCUCAAUCUGGGAACGGCUCCCAGAACUGUCGGCUAGAGUGUAGGAGAGGAACGUAGAAUUCCCGGUGUAGCGUGACAUG